rnacentral:rRNA from 1 species
AUGCUGACCUUGUCCUCGGCGCUCCCGGUGUUCCACUCGGACUGGUGCACUAGCUUCACCUUGCUCUCGGGCGCGUGCUCGUCGUCGCCGGUGCAGGUGACCAUCUUCUACAUCUCGCUCUACCUGGUGGCGCUGGCGGAGGCCGAGCACAAGCCGUGCGCGCAGGCGUUCGGCGCCGACCAGUUCAACCAGCACCACCCCGACGAGUCCGUCUCUCGGAGCUCCUUCUUCAACUGGUGGUACUUCGGCAUGUGCUCCGGCAUCGCCGCCACCACCAUGGCCUCCAGCUACAUCCAGGACAACAUCGGCUGGGGCCUCGGCUUCGGCAUCCCCUGCCUCAUCAUGGUCUUCGCGCUCGCCAUGUUCCUGCUCGGCACCCGCCGGUAUCGCUACUACACCUCCACCCAGUCCAGCCCCUUCGCCCGCCUCGCCAGGGCCUUCGUCACGCUCCUCAAAGGCUCCAAGUCCAGCCAAUGCGCCAAUACUCUCGCGGGCGAGGAUGGUGAGUUCAACGCGGAGCACCGGGAGGAAGUUCGGGGCCUGCUGCGGCUGUUCCCCAUCUGGGCGACGUGCAUCAUCUAUGUCGUCAUCUUCUCCCAGUCGUCGACCUUCUUCACGAAGCAGGCGGCGACGCUGGACCGGCGGAUCGGCGCCACCUUCCGCGUGCCGCCGGCGGCGCUGCAGACGUUCAUCAGCCUGACCAUCAUCACCUUCAUCCCAGUCUACGACCGGCUCUUCGUGCCGGCGGCGCGGCGGUUCACGCGCCUGUCCUCGGGCAUCACCAUGCUGCAGAGGAUCGGCACCGGGCUGGUCCUCGCCCUGGUGGCCAUGGUGGUGGCGGCGCUGGUGGAGGCGAGGCGGCUGGGCGUGGCGAGGGAGGCCGGCCUCGUGGACGACCCCAAGGCGGCGCUGCCGAUGAGCCUGUGGUGGAUGGUGCCGCAGUACGUGCUGUUCGGGCUGUCGGACGUGUUCGCCAUGAUCGGGCUGCAGGAGUUCUUCUAUGACCAGGUCCCCGACGCGCUGCGCAGCCUGGGGCUGGCCUUCUUCCUCAGCAUCUUCGGGGUGGGCCACUUCCUGAGCAGCUUCCUCAUCUCCGCCAUCGACGGCGCCACCAAGAAGGGUGGCGCCAGCUGGUUCUCCAACAACCUCAACCGCGCGCACCUCGACUACUUCUACUGGCUGCUCGCCAGGUUGAUUCAGCAAAACGCAGGGGGGUUUGUGAGAAAAUCCGUGCGCUGA